CUUGCUACUAUCUCGUACUGCACAUCCAAUUGACACAAUCAAACAGACAUCACUGCCUGAUAUAAAACAAUUUAUAUUGCUACCAAAGUAGACGGUUAUGUUUGUGCAGAUUUGAAGAAGAGAAUUAUAGGGCUUAGGUAAACGAGUUGUGCAUUGAAACCACGUCCAUGCAUAUUUAUUUAGUGGUGAACCUGAAAUUUGAAGCUGCGUGAAAUAGAAUAAAAUGUGAUGUGCGCUGUUUUUAUGCAGAUAACGUGGGACGACCGUACACUGAAAAUGUCAAGCGUUGAAAUUUUUCAGGUCAAAUCAGGUUUUAAAGAUAUUUUAGGCUGAUCUGCGAUAUGGGGUAUAAUGGACCACCCAAAAAAAAAU